rnacentral:rRNA from 1 species
GAUGAACGCUGGCGGCGUGCCUAAUACAUGCAAGUCGAGCGAACGGACGAGAAGCUUGCUUCUCUGAUGUUAGCGGCGGACGGGUGAGUAACACGUGGAUAACCUACCUAUAAGACUGGGAUAACUUCGGGAAACCGGAGCUAAUACCGGAUAAUAUUUUGAACCGCAUGGUUCAAAAGUGAAAGACGGUCUUGCUGUCACUUAUAGAUGGAUCCGCGCUGGAUUAGCUAGUUGGUAAGGUAACGGCUUACCAAGGCAACGAUGCAUAGCCGACCUGAGAGGGUGAUCGGCCACACUGGAACUGAGACACGGUCCAGACUCCUACGGGAGGCAGCAGUAGGGAAUCUUCCGCAAUGGGCGAAAGCCUGACGGAGCAACGCCGCGUGAGUGAUGAAGGUCUUCGGAUCGUAAAACUCUGUUAUUAGGAAAGAACAUAUGUGUAAGUAACUGUGCACAUCUUGACGGUACCUAAUCAGAAAGCCACGGCUAACUACGUG